UACGGGGGGGGCAAGCGUUGUUCGGAAUUACUGGGCGUAAAGGGCUCGUAGGCGGCCAACUAAGUCGGACGUGAAAUCCCUCGGCUUAACCGGGGAACUGCGUCUGAUACUGGAUGGCUUGAAUCCGGGAGAGGGAUGCGGAAUUCCAGGUGUAGUGGUGAAAUGCGUAGAUAUCUGGAGGAACACCAGCGGCGAAGGCGGCAUCCUGGACUGGUCCUGACGCUCAGGAGCGAAAGCGUGGGGAGCGAUCCGG
rnacentral:rRNA from 1 species